UACGUAGGGUGCAAGCGUUGUCCGGAAUUAUUGGGCGUAAAGAGCUCGUAGGCGGCUUGUCGCGUCGGCUGUGAAAACCUGGGGCUCAACCCCGGGCCUGCAGCCGAUACGGGCAGGCUAGAGUUCGGUAGGGGAGAUCGGAAUUCCUGGUGUAGCGGUGAAAUGCGCAGAUAUCAGGAGGAACACCGGUGGCGAAGGCGGAUCUCUGGGCCGAUACUGACGCUGAGGAGCGAAAGCGUGGGGAGCGAACAGG
rnacentral:rRNA from 1 species